rnacentral:rRNA from 1 species
GACGAACGCUGGCGGCGUGCUUAACACAUGCAAGUCGAGCGGUAAGGCCCUUUCGGGGGUACACGAGCGGCGAACGGGUGAGUAACACGUGGGUGACCUGCCCUCCACUCUGGGAUAAGCCCGGGAAACUGGGUCUAAUACCGGAUAGGACCACUGAUCGCAUGGUUGGUGGUGGAAAGUUUUUUCGGUGGGGGAUGGGCCCGCGGCCUAUCAGCUUGUUGGUGGGGUGAUGGCCUACCAAGGCGGUGACGGGUAGCCGGCCUGAGAGGGCGACCGGCCACACUGGGACUGAGACACGGCCCAGACUCCUACGGGAGGCAGCAGUGGGGAAUAUUGCGCAAUGGGCGGAAGCCUGACGCAGCGACGCCGCGUGGGGGAUGACGGCCUUCGGGUUGUAAACCUCUUUCGCCAGGGACGAAGAGCAAUUGACGGUACCUGGAGAAGAAGCACCGGCCAACUACGUG